rnacentral:ncRNA from 1 species
GUAAGCCCAAGCCCGUAUGCCACGGUCAUCCAAAGGUAAGAGUUCCCAAAGGGAACCGCCGUGGCCCUUCCGCAAGGAAGGAGGGCUUGGGAUAGGAGGA